UACUUAAGUUUUCUUCUUUGUACUUGUGUAGGAAUGCAUAAACUUUACAAAUAAUUCUGUAAACAACAAACAGGAAAAUACUCAAAUACUUAAAUUAACUGCUUUUUUCUGAACUCACCACUUAAGCAUCUCCAGUAUAAUGCUAACUCAGUGAUGUGGAAUGAAGGAUCUCCUUGUUUUAAAUACUUAACUACCAGACAUUUUAAGCUUCAUGUUUUAUUUAUUUAUAUUUACUUCAAAGGCAAACGGGGAGAUAGAGAAAGAGAGAAAAAGAGAGAGAGAGGAAGAGAGGGAGGGAAGGAAGGAAGGAGGGAGGGAGGGAAGGAGGCAGGGAGAGAAACAGAGAUCUUCUACCCACUGGUUUAUUCCCCAAAUGCCCACAACAGCUUGGGUUGGGACAAGCUAAAGCCAGGAGCUGAGAACUAAAUCUGGGUCUCUCACAGGGAUGGCAAGUACCCAACCAGCUGAGGCACGAUCGGCUGAAUCUCAGGGAGUUAACAGCAGGAAGCUGGAAGUGGAAGCAGAGCAGGAACUCAAACCCAGCUGCCUCCAGGGUGUGCAGGAAUAUGGAGCUGGAGUAAGGAGCUGGAACUGCCACUGAACCAGUGCUUGAAUCCACCAGUUAUCAGCAAGAAGGACAAAGACAAACCCACCAGCCAUGAGCUUCCUGGAGAAAAACUAUCUGUCAGCAGCCUCUUCUGGCCCCCGUCUCAUGAACUAAUCCGUGAGCGCUCAGUCCCCGGUUUGCUCUGUCUCCCUUUCCCUCGUGUCUACAUUAGGACUAUGACAUCAAUGAAAUAAAGAAA